CUGAAUACUUUGGAGAUUUCUGCAUAUUUUAAUAUAAAUAGGCACUGCAGCCACUGGGAAUGGACCUGGAGGGCUGUGGCUUUAGUGGGGGCCCCUGGACUGCACGCUGCGUGCAGUUGGCAUUCUUCACCUGUGCUUCUGAGUUACCUCUUCCAGUUCUGUUUUGUACAAAAGGAAUCCAGUUCGCACACCUGGGGCCUGCUCUGUGAUACAAAGUGCAGCAUGCUUACGAUGUUUAGUCACUGGACUGGCUCUCCUCGUGCUCUGCAGCACAGUUACAUUCCUUUCUUGCUGUGGCUCUUGGUCAUCCCAUCCAGCACAUCCAAGGAGGCUGCCACAGAUACAGUGAUCAGGGAAGAGACUGUCCUCUUGCUGCUCUCGCUCUGUGGUGUAUCCAUCUGUAGACAGCCUGGCUAA
rnacentral:lncRNA from 1 species